ACAUAUUGCACAGAUAUUGUUGAAAAAAAGUGACAUUUGGAAAUAGAGCUGCACCUCUUGAAUGUUGAGAGUUAUUUGAUAAAGGCUGGUUGAAUGAGUUCCCUAUGAGAGGCUACUUCAUCUGCAAGAAAACAGGAGGCCGCACCAGUUUCCUCAUAUGAAAUUAAAAGAUCCAUUUUGAGACAACAGAGCAGAAAACACGAUAUGGAG